rnacentral:rRNA from 1 species
AAUCUGCCCCCCGGCCCGGGACUAGCCCAGGGAAACCUGGAUUAAUACCGGAUGAGACGGGACCCGCGAUGGCGGGACCCGGGAAAGGCGCUGCGGCGCCGCCGGGGGAUGAGUCUGCGUCCCAUUAGCUAGACGCGGGGUAACGGCCCACCGUGGCGACGAUGGGUAGCCGGCCUGAGAGGGUGGACGGCCACAUUGGAACUGAGACACGGUCCAGACUCCUACGGGAGGCAGCAGCUAAGAAUCUUCCGCAAUGGGCGAAAGCCUGACGGAGCGACGCCCGCGUGAACGAAGAAGGCCGUGAGGUUGUAAAGUUCUUUUCGGGAGGGGGAACAACCGUGGCAGGGAAUGGCCGCGGGAUGACGUGAAUCCCGGAAUAAGCCCCGGCUAACUACGUGCCAGCCGCAGC